rnacentral:rRNA from 1 species
AUACGGAGGGUGCGAGCGUUAAGCGGAAUUACUGGGCGUAAAGCGUACGUAGGCGGUUGGUUAAGUUAGAUGUGAAAGCCCCGGGCUUAACCUGGGAACUGCAUUUAAAACUGGCGAACUAGAGUUGAGUAGAGGGGAGUGGAAUCUCAGGUGUAGCGGUGAAAUGCGUAGAGAUCUGAAGGAACACCAGUGGCGAAGGCGACUCCCUGGACUCGAACUGACGCUGAGGUACGAAAGCGUGGGUAGCAAACGGGAUUAGAAACCCUAGUAGUCC